rfam:Pteropus alecto contig167111, whole genome shotgun sequence.
UUCUACAGCCAUGCCACCCUGCACAAGCCUGAUCCCAUCUGAUCUCAGAAGCUAAGCAGGGUCGGGCCUAGUUAGUACUUGGAUGGGAGGCCACCUAGGAAGACCAGGUUCUGUAGGCA